CUCCCUUGCACACACACAGCAGCAGCUGGCAGCCGUGCCCCCACCACCAGCAAGCCCCUCACCGAACCCCUCCCCGUUUCGCCUCCUCCGCCCAAAUCCCCAAAUCGCCGCCUCCGAUCCGCCGCCGUCCUCGAUCCGCCGGAGCCGUUGACCCGCCCAGAAUGGCCUCCGGGCCGCCCUCGCCGUCCGGCAAGCCCUACUCCCGCAAAUCCCACGGCAGCUCCAAGGCCCCCAGCGUCCCCUCCUUCGACGCCCACAGCAACGGCCCGCUCCUCCCCAGCGUCACCUUCUCGCUGCCCUCCACGCCCGCCUCCCGCCGGGAGCUCCGCCGCCGCCUCUCUGCCGAACUCGCCCAGGUGCGCGCCGCCUCCAAGCGACUCAACUCCCUCCCGGCUCCGGCCCCCUCCUCCGCGCUCUCCGCCACCGACCCCUCCACGCCGCUCCCCCCGCAGCCGCCGGCGUCCAAGCACAAGUCCAAGAAGGGCGGGGGAGCCCCGCACCCGCAGCCGCACCUCUCGGCGGAGGCGCGGCGCAAGCUCUACGCUCCCGUGUUCAAGAGCUGCUCCGCGCUGCUCACCAGGCUGAUGAAGCACAAGCACAGCUGGGUGUUCAACAAGCCGGUUGAUGCGAGCGCGCUUGGCCUGCACGACUACCAUACCAUCAUCACCAAGCCCAUGGACCUCGGCACAGUCAAAUCAAAGCUAGCGGCCGGGCAAUACAAGUCGCCACGGGAAUUCGCCGGGGAUGUGCGUCUUACGUUCCAGAACGCCAUGACGUACAACCCCAAGGGGCAGGACGUGCACUUCAUGGCCGAGCAGCUGCUGAACAUGUUUGAGGAGAAGUGGUCGGAGAUUGAAGCUGAGGUUGCGCAACUAUCACCACAGCCUCCUACACCGUCGUCGGCUGCACCCAGGAAACCAAAGGAGAUAGACAAUUCUAGGGUGUUAGAGAGGUCGGAUUCGACCGUCCAAGCUGCCGGGGUGGAGGCUACACCGAAGCCGCACACUGGCAGACCCCCAGUUUUAAAGAAGCCCAAGGCAAGGGAGCCAAAUAAGAGGGAUAUGACCUUCUGGGAGAAGCAGCGGCUUAGCAAUAACCUCCAGGAUUUGCCACCGGAGAAGCUAGACAAUGUUGUUCAGAUCAUAAAGAAGAGGAACCUGUCACUCAGCCAGCAUGAUGAUGAGAUUGAGGUUGAUAUUGAUAGCUUUGAUGUUGAAACAUUAUGGGAGCUUGACAGAUUUGUGACAAACUAUAAGAAGAGUAUAACUAAGAAUAAGCGGAAGGCUGAGCUUUCCGCAGUAAGGCCAGAUGAGGCCGAGGCCGAGGCUGAGCCUGAGCCUGAGCCUGAGCCUGAUCAAGAGCUGGAGAAGAUAGAGCACGCGAGGCAGGAUGAGGCAGAUCAGGAUCAGAUUCCUGCAGUACAAGAACCGAUUCCAGAACCAGAAGCAGUUGAUGCUGAACCACCUAAGGAAAAUGCAGCAGAUGACAAUGAGAGAUAUGUGGGUGAAUCAUCACCAGGUCAUUUGGAAGAUCCAAAGGGAGAGACUGCUGGUAGAUCAAGUAGUUCGGGAAGCUCUAGCAGUGACUCUGGCUCGUCCUCUAGUGAUACGGACACAGAUAGUUCAUCAGCAGAUGGCUCUGAUGCUGCACAGUCACCCAGAACGUAGCGUCUAUAGGCCAGAUGUUAAUGUGAGAUUGGAAAGGCCAUAACUCCUUAGUUCACCAAAGAUUCUAGCGUGAAAUUGUCGGCGAGAUUGUUGUAAAUUUUGCUUAUUUAGGAACCCUAACCAAUGCCAUCAGCCAUGAUGUUGUUUUGGUCUCUCAGUGGAUGCCUGGAAUGGCUCAUGCCCGAUUCAUCUGUACCACUAUUUGCAGUCGUGUACUUAUUGUAGAGUGCUGCGUUUACCUAGUCGUCGAGCUGGAAAGUACCUCACAUUGGAUAGGAAGAAACCUGCAAACUGGGGGCAAGUAAAACAAGCGGUGAGGUGAAGACCGGGAACCUGUAAGCCUCGCCCUGUUCGCACAUGUGUUUGAACUGGACCCCAUCUCUCAGUAAUGGAGAAAAGCUCCACCGUGACUGGUAAGGAAACAAGUCCAGCAGACCUGAAACUGAAACCCAAGCUUCAUCGAUGAGACGCCCUCCAGAAUGCAAAUGCUUCGCUCUUGCGGCCUGUUCUUGUUCGAUUUCCCUGCACUGCCGCGUUGCCGGCAAUCUUUCAAAUUUUCAAUGGUGAAGCUGAAUUUGUUGUUUUUCCGAUGGAGGUUGAUGGAGAAUCUGAGAAUCUGUUGUUUCAUUGUUUGGAAUGGUGAUCUGCCAUGUGUUACUAGGAGAGUAUUUCAGUAUGAACUGGAUGGAUUCGUAUGAAAUUUCUCA